GGGGAUGACUGGAUUUGACAGCAGGCCGAGAUGGUAUGUAAGCACGCGGAGCGUUGGCUAGUGGCUCCUUAAUCCUACGAGUCAUCAAAAUUUAUCUGGCAACAACAACUAUGCUCUCGCUGCCUAAUCGAAGUACAGUAGAUUACUGGCUUAAUUCUGCCACCAGGUGACAGAACGAGACGUCGCUCAGAUGCCCUUUUUCCGAGGCUUUCUGGUUUAGCGGCGCAGCAAUAUCGGGAAUAGUCGGCAAUGGCCUCGCAUUGUAGGCGAAAAUUUUGAGGAUAAGGCUGUGGUUGGUGGCCCGGGUCUUGCCGCAGCACGAAAAUCAAGGCCGGGAUAAGCGUGUAGAAAGCGUAUGGUUUCCCUGUUUGGACGAGGGUUCAACUCCCUCCAUCUCCAC
rnacentral:tmRNA from 1 species